rnacentral:rRNA from 1 species
CAGCAGCCGCGGUAAUGCGUAGGGUGCGAGCGUUAAUCGGAAUUACUGGGCGUAAAGCGUGCGCAGGCGGUUGUGUAAGACAGGUGUGAAAUCCCCGGGCUUAACCUGGGAACUGCGCUUGUGACUGCACAGCUAGAGUAUGGCAGAGGGGGGUGGAAUUCCACGUGUAGCAGUGAAAUGCGUAGAGAUGUGGAGGAACACCGAUGGCGAAGGCAGCCCCCUGGGCCAAUACUGACGCUCAUGCACGAAAGCGUGGGAAGCAAACAGGAUUAGAUACCCCAGUAGUCCCUGUCUCUUAUAC